rnacentral:tRNA from 1 species
GCCCGCCUGGCGGAAUGGCAGACGCAGCGGACUUAAAAUCCGCAGGCCGCAAGGUCAUGGGGGUUCGAGUCCCCCGGCGGGCA